UCUCCCUUCGUUGCCUCUUUCGGGGAUUAUAACGCGGGAGCUUUUCUCACUCUUCGCGUUGACCAAAUGUCCAACAUGGAAGAGGAACCUUGCAUUGCAUCUUCCCGUUUCUUAAAUGUCUUGGGGUAUUAUGCAGGACUCAUGGCCAUAGCUUCGAGUUUGAUAUUCCUAGCGCAGCGUGGAGCCUGGGCUGUGGUAACAUCCACCCGUAUUUGGCGAAUGGGUAUUUCUGUAAUCUGGAAGAUUAAGUCCCUACCCACAGUCAGUAAAAGUGCUGGGCUUGCGUUUUGCAUUGCCCUGUAAAGGAAAACUCUGAGCCUGGAUGUAAUUUGCUAAUUUGCUGUGGAAUAUUUGUGUUUUUCAGAAGUCAUGCCAAAGAGAACUGCCAGCAGAUGGGGUGGGGCAGAGUAAUGGUUUUUGCAGGGACCCAGGAACUAAAAGUAUUUGACAUACUAAAGCAGAAAGUAUGUGUGCUGUAUAGAACAUUUCUCUGUAUCCACCACACUUGUUGCUUAAUAGCAGUGACUGCGAUAUCUAUUAAAAGCACAGGGUGGAAGUGUGAAUGUUCAUUAAUAAACUAACAUUGGAUUGAAAGGAGAGAAACUAGAAAAAAGCCCCCCAAAACACCAUCCCCACCUCCACAUCACUUUUUUUUUUUUUUUUUUCCUUAAGCACAUUGUGUUUGCAGGGCCUUAGCUUUCUAUUGCCAGACUGGCAAAGCUACCCAAACUCUAUUCCCUCAUAAUCUCCAAAAGUCUCAAAUAGGUGCUGGGAUGGUAGUUUUGGGUUUCUAGCCCUCUGUUCCUCCUUUGUUUUAGUCAGAUUUUAAAUUUUGGUUCAGUGAGACUUGUGAGAAUUGCUUAAAAUUUGCAUAUAGAAGUCACCUCAAGCAAGGAAUUUGCAAACUUGUUUGGUGUUUUUUUACACUAGUCAAGAAACUGCUGUAGUAUUUGAGAAAAAUGACAUUUUUAGUGGCUGCUGAAUCAUAGAGUGAAAAGGUAGACAUCCCUGUUUUAGCCUUUACUACAACUGUUGUAUCAUGUGUUUAUCCAUGGCUUAUUGCUCUUGUGAAGUUGUCUGGCUGCAGGCAGUGCAUUACUCCAAAGGUGCUGCUGCGCUGAUGCUCUGUGUGUUCACAGUCAUGGGCAAAGCUGAAGGCUCUGUGGCCAGGGAAGAAUGGCAUGGACACGUUACUGCUCUCUCUGUUGCACCAGAAUUUCGACGGCUGGGUUUGGCUGCUAAAUUGAUGGAGCUCCUGGAAGAAAUUUCAGAAAAAAAGGGUGGAUUUUUUGUCGAUCUCUUUGUGAGAGUAUCAAAUCAGGUUGCUGUAAAUAUGUAUAAGCAACUAGGCUACAGUGUGUACCGGACAGUCUUAGAGUACUACUCAGCUAGCAGUGGGGAGCCAGAUGAAGAUGCUUAUGAUAUGAGAAAAGCUCUUUCCAGAGAUACAGAGAAGAAAUCAGUUAUACCUCUGCCUCAUCCUGUGAGACCAGAAGACAUCGAGUAACUUUAAGCUGCAGUUCUUAUGCAAUGUACCAAGGGUCAGGUUCCAUCUCCUAUAACCUCCAACAACUUAGGCAUAAGAAGUUUUAGGCCAAAUGUUUUUCCCAUAAAAUACAUAAAAGCAAUGUUGAGAAGCUGACUAACACUGCUUCUAUUGGUAAUGCCUGUAUACUGCCACACUUACUCUAUUUUUCCUUUCACAUGUUGGAGAUUUGCAGACUAUUAAAAUGGAAAUACUUCCUGUAUGGUCUUUUCUUGGUUUUCUUGUUGCAGCUAAAAUUUAUUUCUGUUUCAGGAAGCAUCUCAUUGUAUAGUCUGUAAUUUAACAGUUCCCAUGCCAAGUUAAUUGUGGUGGAAGAAGGAAAAUGAAGCCAGGACACUCAACUAGGAUGCCCCAAACCCCUGCCAAUCACAGGUUGCCAAAAAAAACCACCCCAGGUUACAAAAAUACUAGAAACUCAGGUACAAAGAUACCAAAUCCCUGGCCUACAAAAAUACCAAAAACUCCCCCUACAAAAAACUAGGUUCCAAAAUACAACCCUAGGUGUAUUUUUGUUCAAAACCCUAGUUUUUGAGCCCUAGUUUCAAAAUAAUAGAAAACCAAAUUCCAAAAUACCAAAGAAAACCAGGUUUCAAAAUCACAGAUUUAAAAUAUCAGAAUUUUAACCUAACCCAGGUUCCAAAAUACAAAAGCAACCCAAUUUCAAAAUACCAGAAUAGCAAGUUCAGAAAUAUCAAAACACAGUUUCAAAACACUAGAAUACCAAGUUCCAAAACACCAAAAUAAUUCCAUUUCAAAAUACCAGAAUAUCAAGUUCCAAAAUAUCUAAAUGACCUCAUUUCAAAAUAUCAAACUGCAAAAUACCAAUUCUCAGAUCUCUUAUGUGGUCAGGAUUCCCAAACCCAAAAGAAUGCAAUAUUGUCAAAAUGGAAUCUGUGGUACCAAAAUGGAUGUUUUCUUGUCUGAAAAGCUUUCCUCUGGUGACCAUCAGUACAUGUAUUUAUUCUAAUUGUACAGCCAGAUGCAAUAAGAAUUUUAUUGUAAAAGCAAACACUUGUAGUAGCUGUCUGCUUAGUUUAUGUCUGUGAGAACUGGCAUUUGGGCCGGAGAGCUGUGGUUGGGAUCAAAGGAUGGAGUAAAUCUUUUCCCUGCAGAUGCACAGUGAAAGACUGCGGAGCAGGCAAAGAGAGCAUUUAUAUAUUUCACUGAAAUUCGGGGUGCAGCAGCAAUGGGGGUGCUCAGGUUCAUUAGGAUGAGCCAUAAACAACACAGCCAAACCCAUGACGCCUCAAGGGACGUGUCAAACGCUUCGACAGAAACAGGAGGAAUGCAACUCAUGAAGAGUUUAAGAGGAGAAGCUCAUGAAGAAUUGCAGCCCAUAAGAAGGACCCAUAUUGGAGAAAUUAAUGGAGAACUGUUCCCUGUAGGAGGGAUCUCAUGCUGCAGCAGCACAAAG